rnacentral:rRNA from 1 species
UUCCGGUUGAUCCUGCCGGACCCGGCCGCUAUCGGGGUGGGGCUAAGCCAUGGGAGUCGCACGCUCCGCCGCCGCGGGGCGUGGCGCACGGCUGAGUAGCACGUGGCUAACCUACCCUCGGGAGGGGGAUAACACCGGGAAACUGGUGCUAAUCCCCCAUAGGGGAAGGCGCCUGGAAGGGUCCUUCCCCGAAAGGGUUUGGCAGGGGUUAUCGCUGCCAAGCCGCCCGAGGAUGGGGCUACGGCCCAUCAGGUAGUUGGCGGGGUAAUGGCCCGCCAAGCCGAUAACGGGUGGGGGCCGUGAGAGCGGGAGCCCCCAGAUGGGCACUGAGACAAGGGCCCAGGCCCUAAGGGGCGCACCAGGCGCGAAACUUCCGCAAUGCGGGAAACCGUGACGGAGUCACCCCGAGUGCCGCCUGAUGAGGGCGGCUUUUCCCCGGUCUAAAAGGCCGGGGGAAUAAGCGGGGGGCAAGCCUGGUGUCAGCCGCCGCGGUAAUACCAGCCCCGCGAGUGGUCGGGACGAUUAUUGGGCCUAAAGCGUCCGUAGCCGGCCCGGCAAGUCCCUCUUUAAAGCCCACGGCUCAACCGUGGGAGCGGAGGGAUACUGCCGGGCUAGGGGGCGGGAGAGGCCGGGGGUACUCCUGGGGUAGGGGCGAAAUCCGAAAAUCCCAGGAGGACCACCAGUGGCGAAGGCGCCCGGCUGGCACGCGCCCGACGGUGAGGGACGAAAGCUGGGGGAGCAAAGGGGAUUAGAUACCCCCGUAGUCCCAGCUGUAAACGAUGCGGGCUAGAUGCUGGGCAGACUUCGAGUCUGCCCAGUGUCGCAGGGAAGCCGUUAAGCCCGCCGCCUGGGGAGUACGGCCGCAAGGCUGAAACUUAAAGGAAUUGGCGGGGGAGCACCACAAGGGGUGAAGCUUGCGGUUUAAUUGGAGUCAACGCCGGGA